rnacentral:rRNA from 1 species
GAGCGGAAACGAUCCUUAGCUUUCUAGGAGGCGUCUAGCGGCGGACGGGUGAGUUAUGCAUAGGAUUCUGCCCGGUAGUGGGGGAUAACUUGAGGAAACUCAAGCUAAUACCGCAUACGCCCUACGGGGGAAAGCAGGGGCUCUUCGGACCUUGCGCUAUCGGAUGAGCUUAUGUCGGAUUAGCUGGUUGGUGAGGUAACGGCUCACCAAGGCGACGAUCCGUAGCUGGUCUGAGAGGAUGAUCAGCCACAUCGGGACUGANACACGGCCCGAACUCCUACGGGAGGCAGCAGUGGGGAAUAUUGGACAAUGGGGGCAACCCUGAUCCAGCCNUGCCGCGUGUGUGAAGAAGGCCCUCGGGUUGUAAAGCACUUUCAGCGAGGAAGAAUGCUUGUCGGUUAAUACCCGGCAAGGGAGACAUCACUCGCAGAAGAAGCACCGGCUAACUCCGUGCCAGCACCCGCGGUAAUACGGAGGGUGCGAGCGUUAAUCGGAAUUACUGGGCGUAAAGCGUGCGUAGGCGGCUUGAUAAGCCGGUUGUGAAAGCCCCGGGCUCAACCUGGGAACGGCAUCCGGAACUGUUAGGCUAGAGUGCAGGAGAGGAAGGUAGAAUUCCCGGUGUAGCGGUGAAAUGCGUAGAGAUCGGGAGGAAUACCAGUGGCGAAGGCGGC